AUUGAACGCUGGCGGCAGGCCUAACACAUGCAAGUCGAACGAGCGGCGGACUGGUGAGUAAUGUCUGGGAAACUGCCUGAUGGAUGGGGAUAACUACUGUAACAGGUAGCUAAUACCGCAUACCAUCAGAUGUGCCCAGAUGGGAUUAGCUAGUCGGUGGGGUAACGGCUCACCUAGGCGACGAUCCCUAGCUGGUCUGAGAGGAUGACCAGCCAAACGGGAACUGAGACACGGUCCAGACUCCUACGGGAGGCAGCAGUGGGGAAUAUUGCACAAUGGGCGCAAGCCUGAUGCAGCCAUGCCGCGUGUGUGAAGAAGGCCUUCGGGUUGUAAAGCACUUUCAGCUGGGAGGCGUUACCCGCAGAAGAAGCACCGGCGAACUCCGUGCCAGCAGCCGCGGUAAUAC
rnacentral:rRNA from 1 species